GUUCGGUCCCCCCGCAAUGACCAACCACGAACCCCGCCAGGCCCGGAAGGGAGCAACGGUAGUGGUGACGUUAUGUGCCGGGGUGUGGCUGUUCGGG
rnacentral:SRP_RNA from 1 species